rnacentral:rRNA from 1 species
CCUACUGGGGGCUGCAGUGGGGAAUAUUGGACAAUGGGGGCAACCCUGAUCCAGCCAUGCCGCGUGUGUGAAGAAGGCCCUCGGGUUGUAAAGCACUUUCAGUGAGGAAGAACGCCUGGUGGUUAAUACCCAUCAGGAAAGACAUCACUCACAGAAGAAGCACCGGCUAACUCCGUGCCAGCAGCCGCGGUAAUACGGAGGGUGCGAGCGUUAAUCGGAAUUACUGGGCGUAAAGCGCGCGUAGGUGGCUUGAUAAGCCGGUUGUGAAAGCCCCGGGCUCAACCUGGGAACGGCAUCCGGAACUGUCAAGCUAGAGUGCAGGAGAGGAAGGUAGAAUUCCCGGUGUAGCGGUGAAAUGCGUAGAGAUCGGGAGGAAUACCAGUGGCGAAGGCGGCCUUCUGGACUGACACUGACACUGAGGUGCGAAAGCGUGGGUAGCAAACAGGAUUAGAUACCCCAGUAGUC